UGGACUGGUGAACGGUACGGACGCAUUUACCACAACAGUGUGUAGUAAAUGUUCAUUUGUUUUGUCUCUUUUGAUUUAUCAAGGAAGAAGUUUGAUCGCGAAGUUUAAAUCUUUACAUAGGAAGAUAAAUUGUGUUUCUUGGUUGAUUUUGUUUACGGUGAACUAGUUACGCUUUUGUUUGGAUAGUGAGUCGGUUCGAACGCUAUUGAACUCGAGUGGAAUAUUGGGUGGAAAUUCGUUUUUCUUUUUCGUCAUUUUUGAGUAAACCAUUCGCGAAAUCUUCAUAAAUGUAGACCAUCAUACCGAAAAGACCGUUAAUUUACACAACAAGAAAAA